GAUGAACGCUGGCGGCGUGCCUAAUACAUGCAAGUCGAGCGAACGGACGAGAAGCUUGCUUCUCUGAUGUUAGCGGCGGACGGGUGAGUAACACGUGGAUAACCUACCUAUAAGACUGGGAUAACUUCGGGAAACCGGAGCUAAUACCGGAUAAUAUUUUGAACCGCAUGGUUUAAAAGUGAAAGACGGUCUUGCUGUCACUUAUAGAUGGAUCCGCGCUGCAUUAGCUAGUUGGUAAGGUAACGGCUUACCAAGGCAACGAUGCAUAGCCGACCUGAGAGGGUGAUCGGCCACACUGGAACUGAGACACGGUCCAGACUCCUACGGGAGGCAGCAGUAGGGAAUCUUCCGCAAUGGGCGAAAGCCUGACGGAGCAACGCCGCGUGAGUGAUGAAGGUCUUCGGAUCGUAAAACUCUGUUAUUAGGGAAGAACAUAUGUGUAAGUAACUGUGCACAUCUUGACGGUACCUAAUCAGAAAGCCACGGCUAACUACGUGCCAGCAGCCGCGGUAAUACGUAGGUGGCAAGCGUUAUCCGGAAUUAUUGGGCGUAAAGCGCGCGUAGGCGGUUUUUUAAGUCUGACGUGAAAGCCCACGGCUCAACCGUGGAGGGUCAUUGGAAACUGGAAAACUUGAGUGCAGAAGAGGAAAGUGGAAUUCCAUGUGUAGCGGUGAAAUGCGCAGAGAUAUGGAGGAACACCAGUGGCGAAGGCGACUUUCUGGUCUGUAACUGACGCUGAUGUGCGAAAGCGUGGGGAUCAAACAGGAUUAGAUAUCCUGGUAGUCCACGCCGUAAACGAUGAGUGCUAAGUGUUAGGGGGUUUCCGCCCCUUAGUGCUGCAGCUAACGCAUUAAGCACUCCGCCUGGGGAGUGCGACCGCAAGGUUGAAACUCAAAGGAAUUGACGGGGACCCGCACAAGCGGUGGAGCAUGUGGUUUAAUUCGAAGCAACGCGAAGAACCUUACCAAAUCUUGACAUCCUUUGACAACUCUAGAGAUAGAGCCUUCCCCUUCGGGGGACAAAGUGACAGGUGGUGCAUGGUUGUCGUCAGCUCGUGUCGUGAGAUGUUGGGUUAAGUCCCGCAACGAGCGCAACCCUUAAGCUUAGUUGCCAUCAUUAAGUUGGGCACUCUAAGUUGACUGCCGGUGACAAACCGGAGGAAGGUGGGGAUGACGUCAAAUCAUCAUGCCCCUUAUGAUUUGGGCUACACACGUGCUACAAUGGACAAUACAAAGGGCAGCGAAACCGCGAGGUCAAGCAAAUCCCAUAAAGUUGUUCUCAGUUCGGAUUGUAGUCUGCAACUCGACUACAUGAAGCUGGAAUCGCUAGUAAUCGUAGAUCAGCAUGCUACGGUGAAUACGUUCCCGGGUCU
rnacentral:rRNA from 1 species